rnacentral:lncRNA from 1 species
GAGGAAGAGAGGAAGAGAGGAAGAGAGGAAGAGAGGAAGAGAGGAAGAGAGGAAGAGAGGAAGAGAGGAAGAGAGGAAGAGAGGAAGAGAGGAAGAGAAUCUUAAAAUAGUACCCUGAAAAAGAUCAGAAAAGAGCCAGGAUGCUAUUUGUGUGUCUCUCAAGGAAAAUAAAUGAAUUCACUUAACCCUCCUUUGAGUAAUUGAUUUGAACAUGUGCAGUAACAUUGAUUAAUCUAAGUGCAAUCUACCUCCAGGUAAAAGUUUUUUUCAACGUGUGUAUCUCAAGACUGAAAAUUAUGCUGCAAACAGCGCAAGGGAAGUUCUACAGAGCUACAAGAUGCUUUGCUGAGUUUUCAAAACUUCAUUAUCCCCUCAGAUGAGCAACAGUAAAAAGUGAAAGUGGAAAAAAAAAAAGAAAACUUUCCCAUGAAUAGCAGUGUUUCAGGCACUUACACCGAGUAACAUGAAUUUAGGAUACUUUCAGUUUUCAAUUACUUCCUUCUCAAAUCACACACCUCAGCACUAACAUUCACCACCUGCAUUUUUAGAGGCUAGAAAUCAUCACGAGGAAAAUUCCUGGGGAGCUCUCAGUCCUCAGCUGGUAUGAAUGACACUAGUCCCACACUUCUGAGCUACAGUUCAAGGAGGCCUGCAGGAGACAGAGAAGUUCCACUGCAUCUGGCAAUACAACCUGCAUCCUCAAAUCUGCCUUCAAAGCUGUAAAUGCUAGGAACAAACUUUUAUCCAUGUAUCUGUCCUGUUGUUACAGUCAUCCGUGGUGGUUUACCUAAGGACAUGGAAGCUAGCUUCUGGCAACACAGAUCCCUGCUGACAAAGGAGGCAUGUUCCAUCUCCCAGGUACCCAAAGCUGCUCUAGUAGAAGACGUCAGAAUCCAAAAUCUUCUGAUUCCUGACAAGGUGAAUGAUAGGUGCAAAGAAGGAAGCGUAUUUAAGCAGAGUACCAAAACAGAAGGAUAAGAACAGAAACAGUAGAGUAGGACAGAGUUAACAGAUCACAUCUAAGAUUGCAAGAAAAGAAUCACAUGCUGUUCUGGAUUAGCAGAAAGACCACAGUCUCACUAUUUAAAAGGCUAAGGAAAAUUUGGUUCAGAACAAAUGUAAGUGAAUUAGGUAACAGAAAAUAUCUCCUUGGCCAUUGGUACGGAAAGGAAGAAAUGCUAAGUGAAAAGGCCAUCUUCGGAUAGACAAACUCUAAACUUAUGUUUAGAAGCCAAGCAAAGAAAGCAUUUUGGUCUCAGUUUAAUGCUGUCCCUGUGGGUAGCCCCGUUUGUUUAUUUUGCAGUGAACCUUCCAACAUCCCCUUUGCACAAAUCAUCCGGCCUUCAAACUCUCGGGCACUGUCCUCUCUUCAACCACAACUUGCCGACUCCUUCACAAAGCACUGGGCCUAUUAUAUUUCAGCUUGCUUGUCAUAGAGCCUAACAAGCUAUUUCAAUAGCUUCCUCACACUUGUGAGUUAGCGAGCUUUUAAUGCUUCCUCACCCUCACUUAAAAGAGACUGCUAUUGGAAAACCUAAUACAUUCAAUAUGACAGGGCAGGGUUUACAAAUCUAGUUGUCUGGUUUCUAUUGACAUUUAAAAACAAUGUUAGUGACAAAAACGUAAUUAUUCCUAAAUGAUGGAAACAAGGAGCCAGGCGUACUGAAUGAACUUGUUUUGAACCUCUAUUCAUUUCACUUCAGGAUUUUGGCAGAGGUUUUUGCUGGUUUCUAUUUUAUCCUAACCAGUUUAUCCGUGUUCCAGACUUUAUGUUCUGUGGCUGUCAAGCUUCUCUGUGGAAUUCACCCACUGCCACAGAAUUGUACUGGAGAAAUCCGGCAUGCAUCUGAAAAAUAAGGCAAUUGUCUUGUUCUCAC